rnacentral:rRNA from 1 species
GAUGAACGCUGGCGGCGUGCCUAAUACAUGCAAGUCGAGCGAACAGACGAGGAGCUUGCUCCUCUGACGUUAGCGGCGGACGGGUGAGUAACACGUGGAUAACCUACCUAUAAGACUGGGAUAACUUCGGGAAACCGGAGCUAAUACCGGAUAAUAUAUUGAACCGCAUGGUUCAAUAGUGAAAGACGGUUUUGCUGUCACUUAUAGAUGGAUCCGCGCCGCAUUAGCUAGUUGGUAAGGUAACGGCUUACCAAGGCAACGAUGCGUAUACGACCUGAGAGGGUGAUCGCCCACACUGGAACUGAGCCACGGUCCAGACUCCUACGGGAGGCAGCAGUAGGGAAUCUUACGCAAUGGGCGAAAGCCUGACGGAGCAACGCCGAGUGAGUGAUGAAGGUCUUCGGAUCGUAAAACUCUGUUAUUAGGGAAGAACAAAUGUGUAAGUAACUAUGCACGUCUUGACGGUACCUAAUCAGAAAGCCACGGCUAACUACGUG